rnacentral:tRNA from 1 species
GGGCCGGUAGCGAAGUGGUAUCGCGUCCGCUUGGCAUGCGGAAGGGCGCGGGUUCGAGUCCCGCCCGGUCCA